AGGUGAUUGUUUUUAUUAUAUUCUUAUAUUAUAAUGAUAUUUAUAUUUAUACGGUGUUGGAUUGUAGAUAUUAUCACGAUUAAAAAUGUACAAGUUGCCCAACGAAGACAAGCAUUUUGAACCAAGAAUGGACACUCCAAUAAUAAAAAUAAGUUUUAUUUGUAUUACUUGCUGGUCCCUUGUCUUGAUUCCCAAGUUUGUAUAACAUCUUUAAUCCUUAUGUUCAAUAUUAAUUGAACAGACUCCUAAGGAUGGUUUUAGAUUUAUUUUUGAAUUUAGUUUCAACAAAUUUAAAUACUUUCUUUCCUUAGGUGCAGCAAAGGUACUUUCCCCUUUAUUUGUGCAAGACGGAAUGCAACAAAAAAUUAUAAUUGUAUUUUGAAUUACAAAGUUGUG